rnacentral:rRNA from 1 species
UUGCACUAUCACUUAGCGGCGGACGGGUGAGUAAUGCUUAGGAAUCUGCCUAUUAGUGGGGGACAACAUUUCGAAAGGAAUGCUAAUACCGCAUACGUCCUACGGGAGAAAGCAGGGGAUCUUCGGACCUUGCGCUAAUGGAUGAGCCUAAGUCGGAUUAGCUAGUUGGUGGGGUAAAGGCCUACCAAGGCGACGAUCUGUAGCGGGUCUGAGAGGAUGAUCCGCCACACUGGGACUGAGACACGGCCCAGACUCCUACGGGAGGCAGCAGUGGGGAAUAUUGGACAAUGGGCGCAAGCCUGAUCCAGCCAUGCCGCGUGUGUGAAGAAGGCCUUAUGGUUGUAAAGCACUUUAAGCGAGGAGGAGGCUACUGAAGUUAAUACCUUCAGAUAGUGGACGUUACUCGCAGAAUAAGCACCGGCUAACUCUGUGCCAGCAGCCGCGGUAAUACAGAGGGUGCAAGCGUUAAUCGGAUUUACUGGGCGUAAAGCGCGCGUAGGCGGCUAAUUAAGUCAAAUGUGAAAUCCCCGAGCUUAACUUGGGAAUUGCAUUCGAUACUGGUUAGCUAGAGUGUGGGAGAGGAUGUUAGAAUUCCAGGUGUAGCGGUGAAAUGCGUAGAGAUCUGGAGGAAUACCGAUGGCGAAGGCAGCCAUCUGGCCUAACACUGACGCUGAGGUGCGAAAGCAUGGGGAGCAAACAGGAUUAGAUACCCUGGUAGUCCAUGCCGUAAACGAUGUCUACUAGCCGUUGGGGCCUUUGAGGCUUUAGUGGCGCAGCUAACGCGAUAAGUAGACCGCCUGGGGAGUACGGUCGCAAGACU